UGCCAGCCGCCGCGGUAAUACGGAGGGUGCAAGCGUUAAUCGGAAUUACUGGGCGUAAAGCGUGCGUAGGUGGUUUAUUAAGUCAGAUGUGAAAGCCCCGGGCUCAACCUGGGAACUGCAUUCGAUACUGGCAGACUAGGGUGCGAGAGAGGGAGGUAGAAUUCCAUGUGUAGCGGUGAAAUGCGUAGAUAUGUGGAGGAAUACCAGUGGCGAAGGCGGCCUCCUGGCUCGACACUGACACUGAGGUGCGAAAGCGUGGGGAGCAAACAGGAUUAGAUA
rnacentral:rRNA from 1 species